rnacentral:rRNA from 1 species
CCUACGGGAGGCAGCAGUGGGGAAUAUUGCGCAAUGGGCGAAAGCCUGACGCAGCAACGCCGCGUGGGGGAUGAAGGCCUUCGGGUUGUAAACCUCUUUCAGCAGGGAAGAAGCGAAAGUGACGGUACCUGCAGAAGAAGCACCGGCUAACUACGUGCCAGCAGCCGCGGUAAUACGUAGGGUGCAAGCGUUGUCCGGAUUUAUUGGGCGUAAAGAGCUCGUAGGCGGUUAGUCACGUCGGAUGUGAAAUCCCGGAGCUUAACUCCGGGCCUGCAUUCGAUACGGGCUGACUCGAGUGUUGUAGGGGAGACUGGAACUCCUGGUGUAGCGGUGAAAUGCGCAGAUAUCAGGAAGAACACCGGUGGCGAAGGCGGGUCUCUGGGCAACUACUGACGCUGAGGAGCGAAAGCGUGGGGAGCAAACAGGAUUAGAUACCCUGGUAGUCCACGCCGUAAACGGUGGGCGCUAGGUGUGGGGAACAUUCCACGUUCUCUGCGCCGCAGCUAGCGCAUUAAGCGCCCCGCCUGGGGAGUACGGCCGCAAGGCUAAAACUCAAGGAAUUGACGG